rnacentral:lncRNA from 1 species
UUGAUUAAGAUCAAAUUGGAGAAAUACGCUUAAUUAGGGGACGCAAGUUGAAACAUUUGAACAAAAUAGAUAGAUUACAAAUCUAGGGAACACUGUAAGUUCUUGAAUCAAUAGAUAUAUGUAAAGAAAAAAGUAUAUAAACCUUAAAAUGUAUGAACAAAAUGAGUGAAUGAAAAUUUAUGAAUUCCUCUAAUAUAAUUGCUCCACUAAAUGCAGCUGAUUUAUGAAUAUGAA